AACGCUAGCUACAGGCUUAACACAUGCAAGUCGAGGGGAAACGACAUCGAAAGCUUGCUUUUGAUGGGCGUCGACCGGCGCACGGGUGAGUAACGCGUAUCCAACCUGCCCAUCACUUGGGGAUAACCUUGCGAAAGUAAGACUAAUACCCAAUGACGUCUCUAGAAGACAUCUGAAGGAGAUUAAAGAUUUAUCGGUGAUGGAUGGGGAUGCGUCUGAUUAGCUUGUUGGCGGGGUAACGGCCCACCAAGGCAACGAUCAGUAGGGGUUCUGAGAGGAAGGUCCCCCACAUUGGAACUGAGACACGGUCCAAACUCCUACGGGAGGCAGCAGUGAGGAAUAUUGGUCAAUGGGCGAGAGCCUGAACCAGCCAAGUAGCGUGCAGGAUGACGGCCCUAUGGGUUGUAAACUGCUUUUAUAAGGGAAUAAAGUGAGAGUCGUGACUCUUUUUGCAUGUACCUUAUGAAUAAGGACCGGCUAAUUCCGUGCCAGCAGCCGCGGUAAUACGGAAGGUCCGGGCGUUAUCCGGAUUUAUUGGGUUUAAAGGGAGCGUAGGCCGGAGAUUAAGCGUGUUGUGAAAUGUAGACGCUCAACGUCUGCACUGCAGCGCGAACUGGUUUCCUUGAGUACGCACAAAGUGGGCGGAAUUCGUGGUGUAGCGGUGAAAUGCUUAGAUAUCACGAAGAACUCCGAUUG
rnacentral:rRNA from 1 species